GGGUGUUACAUUUAAAAGAUCAUGGAUGGUUCACUUUGCAGGUAAAACUGUAAAUGUUCUUAAGUGUGCAUUUCUGCUGCUUCUGAUGGACUAAGAAUCCUCUUUGAUUUCUAAAGUAAAUGUAGAGACGUUUUAAAAAUAAAAGACUUCUUUGUCCAACCAACAUAUAUUCCAAAAUCCUCCAACAGAGACCUGUGUGAGCUUCAGCUGCCGUAAUCAUGGUGAAGAUCUGGCAAUUUUUGUUGGCUAUUUUGUGGCUUCAGCUAAGCUGUGUAAGUGCCGCCAAAAAUGAAGUGGAGCAGAGUCCUCAGGACCUGACUGCCCAGGAAGGAGAAUUUAUCACAAUCAACUGCAGUUACUCAAUAGGAAUAAAUGCCUUACACUGGCUGCAACAGCAUCCAGGAGGAGGCAUUGUUUCUUUGUUUAUGCUGAGCUCAGAGAAGAAGAAGAAUGGAAGAUUAAUUGCCACAAUAAACAUACAGGAAAGGCACAGCUCCCUGCAUAUCACAGCCUCCCAGCCCAGAGACUCUGCCAUCUACAUCUGUGCUGUGAGACACAGUGCUCUCCAGGCACCUGGAGCCCGUACCUAA